rnacentral:rRNA from 1 species
AGGAUGCAAGCGUUAUCCGGAAUGAUUGGGCGUAAAGCGUCCGCAGGUGGCAGUUCAAGUCUGCUGUCAAAGACCGGGGCUUAACUUCGGAAAGGCAGUGGAAACUGAACAGCUAGAGUAUGGUAGGGGCAGAGGGAAUUCCUGGUGUAGCGGUGAAAUGCGUAGAUAUGUGGAGGAACACCAGUGGCGAAGGCGACUUUCUGGCCUAUAACUGACGCUGAGGCGCGAAAGCGUGGGGAGCAAACAGGAUUAGAUACCCUGGUAGUCCACGCUGUAAACGAUGAGUGCUAGGUGUUAGGGGUUUCGAUACCCUUAGUGCCGAAAUUAACACAUUAAGCACUCCGCCUGGGGAGUACGGCCGCAAGGCUGAAACUCAAAGGAAUUGACGGGGGCCCGCACAAGCAGUGGAGCAUGUGGUUUAAUUCGAAGCAACGCGAAGAACCUUACCAGGUCUUGACAUCCUUUGACCACCUGAGAGAUCAGGCUUUCCCCUUCGGGGGACAAAGUGACAGGUGGUCGACGCGGCCG